rnacentral:tRNA from 1 species
GGGGUUGUAGCUUAGAGGUAAAGCGCUUGCCUUGCAUACUUGAGGCAAGGGGUUCAAUCCUCAGCACCA